UAUUAGGAGGUAAACUGCAUCCUGCCUUAGGAACAAGAUUAAACUCUAGGUGUGCCUGAAGCUCUAGUUCAUUCCUUACAGGCCUCCCUGCGGGGUCUACACUGUACUGCCUUGCUCUUUACCUUGUGCAAGCCUGAGGGCUUUCCUUGACUCAUGACCUGAUCAUUCUAGACCACAGGUGUUUCCCACAACUUCCCGGGAGCUAACUGUUUGCCUCUUAACUCGACUGAUCAUUUCAAUCUCGUGGCUCAGAUUACCCAUAGUUCUGCCCCUAGAGGAGAGUCAGCGUCCCCGCCGCCGCGGCCUGGAGGAAGGAGAGGAGCCGGAGGGGGGCCUCCCCGUCCUGGGGCUGGCGCCCUGUGACCCUGCGCUCCUGUGCGGUUCCGGCUGUGGGCGCCUGCCUUCUGAGAGCGCCCCGUGCGUGUGGGUUGGCAGUCCAGCGGGCUUACUCGUAUUUACCUUGGUGAACUUCGAGCUGGAAGCUGUUUUACGGUAUAAGGAUUUCAGGAGCCUCAGCAUUCAGGUUGCCGGAUCGUGUGCGAUUCUGAGCGAGGCUGGAGAGCAGAAGGCCGUCUGCUUGCUCGCGUCCAUGUUUGGUGGUCAGAUCGCCUUGUUGGAAAUCGGUCCUGCAGCUCUGGUGCGGCCUCAGCAAGGUCAAGCUCACGCCGCCGGGAGGAGCCUGUCCGUGCUGCCUCGGUAGGGUCUUCUCCAGCAGGGCCCACGCGCGCGGCUUUCCCCGCUCAGGAAUUCACAUUCCCGAGGAUUCCAAGAAGCACAAGUAAAGUUUAGUGA